AGGGGGUUCAGGCGGCGGUGGACGGGGUGGAGAACGCGGCGGUGGCGAGCGGCUUCGUCAGCGCGGCCGACCUCCCGAAACCAGAAGCAGAGCCAAGAGAGCAGGCUCAGUAGAACCUGCUGUCACUUCCUGUUCCUUCCC